rnacentral:misc_RNA from 1 species
AACGCAUAUUGCGCCCUCUGGUAUUCCGGAGGGCAUGCCUGUCCGAGCGUCAUUACUACCUUCAAGCACGGCUUGUGUGUUGAGCAUCUGUUCUUUUCAUGGACAGGCUUGAAAUGCAGUGGCGAUGGCGAGUUUGGAGCCCGAGCGUAUGGAGCUUUGUCACGCGCUGUGAUGGCCCGGCUCACUAUCUCCUUUAACCCUAAAAUUAAAUCUGAUUGACCUCGGAUCAGGCAGGGAUACCCGCUGAACUUAA